rnacentral:rRNA from 2 species
UACAGAGGUCCCAAGCGUUGUUCGGAUUCAUUGGGCGUAAAGGGUGCGUAGGCGGCAGGGUAAGUUGGAUGUGAAAUCCUGGGGCUUAACCUCAGAAUUGCAUUCAAUACUGCCUUGCUAGAGAGCUGUAGAGGAGACUGGAAUUUACGGUGUAGCAGUGAAAUGCGUAGAUAUCGUAAGGAACGCCAGUGGCGAAAGCGAGUCUCUGGGCAGCAUCUGACGCUGAGGCACGAAGGCCAGGGGAGCAAACGGG